GAGAAUAGCAUUUUACUGUCCAUGAGAUUAAAAAAAUCUCACAUUUGAUACAGCAUUUUUCAAACCCAAGUUACAUUAAUAUUUCUCAAAAUAUUAUUUCUUUACCAAAAUGAAAAUUAGUUUAACAUAUUUGCUUUACCCUAUUGUAGAACUUCCUUGAAACCUAUGUUAUUUAUUGCUAACAUUUUCAAGGAUAAUGGUUCUUGACAGACCUUUUAGAAUAGUUUAUUUACCCUCAAAUGUUGUCUUGAAAUUUACUUUACUCAUGGUAUUGUGAAUAAAGUUAUCCCUAAGGGUAUCUUUUCUGCUUUGAUAAACAAAAUACUCCGUUUGUGAGAUUAAAUUCAUGCAUAUCAAUUGCUUUUCUUUUAUCUAUCUGCCUCAUUCCCGCCAGAGAAUUAAGUAAGGCAAUCUAGAAAAAGAGGCAAAUAGGCUAUAAGAUCACGGAGGGUAAAAAAAGGUGGUAAAUAGACGGUAUUUUAUAGACUCUCUAAUUUGGGAAUUGUACUCUAUUCUUGAUAUUCAUCCAAUUGGCUAAGAUUUGCCUUUUAUGAGUCUAAUCCCUGACAUCUCGACCGUGGGGAAGCACAUAAUUGUAGGAUCUUCCUAUUUCAGUAGGGGAAGGAAACUACUCAGCCAGAUGAACGUCAAUUGGGCCGGAAUUGCUGCUGAAUAGAGGCUCACCUUAAGUGGGAAGGAAAAUGUGCUGGUUGCUAAGCUACUGAUAGGCUUUGCCCUUCCUCUGUUUAAUGGGCAGUCACUGGGUCAAGGCACAAAUGAUGACGUUAAAGCUGGCGUUUCUUUGCUAAUUGAAUGGUUACAUAGGAAAUGUCUAAGGGUUUCCUCUAAAUUAGUUGUUCCUCCUUGCUAUUCUCUGACCUUCACUCCCAGGAUGAAGGGUGACUGGAGGCUAGGAGAUGGAAUGAAUGGAAGAUUUACUAAAUAGUAAAAUUAGCUAACAUUAAGAUGCUAUAGCUGUAUAAAAAAUGAAUUUGUCAGCAUUUAAAAUAGUUUAUAAUAAAAAACAGGAGGACAUGUUUCAAACAUAUUGGUUUAUAUUGUUCAUCCUUUCCACGUCAUUAUUCCUAAUGGCAAAAGGUUGUGAGCUCUUAUCCUUGGGUCUUUGCUCAAAUUUGAAAUGCCAUAUCCUUUUAAGAUUAGGAUAACAAGGUGAACCUCAGAAAUUAAUAGGCACAACCCCAAGGCACAAGAUAUGCAGCCUCCUCAUUGCUUGUCUCUUGCCCACUCACACACAUAGAGUAGCAUGUUAUGGCACUUACACUAAUAAAGCCACUGCUAUCAAAGUUCUGGACUUGAUUUCCAGCAGUAUUAGCUCUGUUUUACCCUCAAGCUUCUGGGUUAGUGGGUUAUUGCUCACCAAAGAAGUUCUGGUUGGAAGAAGAGGUAAGAUAUCUCCAGAGCCGCUGAGAAGAAUGAGUAAGAUUUCUUGGGGAGGAUUAAAGGUCUCCUUCUGGAGUUGGGCCACAGGAUGAUAUUCAACUGAGGGGCUCUGAGAGUGCACCUGACCUCACCUUUGGAAGGGUGGUUUGUAUUCAAGCCCAAAUCAACUCAACUCACAGUAUUGACCCACGCUGGUUCCGUUUUUGACUCUAAAGUCUUCCUUCAGUUUACAAUCUAUUCACCAAAAUUCUCUAUCUGAAGCAGGUUGCCAAGGCUUUUAAAGACAAGAUAAAAUUUCCUGAUUAAAUGAACAUUCAUCUCUGACUGAAACUGACUGAGGGAACAUGAGAUGAACUCAGGAACAGUAUGUGCUCUAUUGUCCACGGUCCCCCCACCAGAGCUAUACACACAUGUCAAUUUAUUUAUAACAAUGUAAAUACCACAUUCUAGCCAGAGGGUGUGAUAUGUCCAAUUGGGCAAAUGUUCAGUCAUAGUCUAAUAAGAAGAUGGGGAGCUGGGUUUCAGAGGACCUCUGAGUAUCUUUUUUGUUUCUUUAGGGAAUGCAUUAUAUUUACUCAAAUAAUUUUCUCUUUUACCUAUAAGCAAGAUUUGAAGAAAAUAGAUAAAAAAUAAAAUUUUCUCCUAUUACCAUGCAGGUUAUUGCUCUUAUUUUUUGUUUUCAUUUUGUUUUGGUUGUUCUGCUUUAUUUUUGCUUCUUGGAUAGCACUUAAUGUUUCCAAGGAUCUCUUAUUAAGCACAUGAGAGUCAAAUGGCUUUAGCAGAGAGGAUGAACUGGAUAACCAUCAGCGCCAUGCUUCAAUUCAAAGCAGUUUCCUAGUGUUUUUCACCAUAAAUUUGAGAAAGUUCCAUUUGAGAAUCCUUUCCGUGUAAGCUGGUUGUGGUUUUUCAAUGCCAGGGAUGACAAAGGUGAAAUUAAUGCACCCAGCUGCUUCCCACGUGCUGGGCUUACAGAGGACAGUUUCCAACUUCCUUUGCCUGCUAGGCCCUCCCCUGUAUCACUCCCUUCCAUCUCCCCCUCUGAGAAUGACAGCCCUGGCUUGGUCUCAGUGACCUGGGGUAACUGCCAUGAAGCAACUUUUGAUAAGAAACAGGAUGUACAAUGGUUCCUCUGAAAUAAAAUUGGAUUAAAAGUGCACCCUCCCAUGCCGUAUGCCAGGCAUAGCACUAGAUGCAGACAUCUGACUAUAUCAUCAAUUUUACAAUUACCUGAUGAAGUAAAUACGACAACAAGAAAUGAAACAAAUCUUUGAAAGGAUGAAGAAAAUUCCUGUUAUCAAAUUACCAGCUGGGUAAUUAGUGAGCUGCUGGUAGGGGAAAGAAUUUUGAAGUCAGGUUUUUCUGACUCGGCAUCUUAUCUUUUUUCUUGCUCUUGAGGCCAUGUUGCAGAGAAAGAGGGUGAGAGAGAGAAAGAGGAUGCUGGAAAGUCUUAGGCUAAAUAGUGCCCCCUUUCUGCCACACACACAGAAAAAUCCAUGACCAAAUCCCUAGAACCUGUAAAUAGCUGCUUAUAGUACAUGGCAAAAAAAAAAAGAAAAGAAAAGAAGAAAGGAAGAAAGAAAG
rnacentral:lncRNA from 1 species